AGCCCAACACGACGUGGCUUCUAGUGUCUUCUCCUCGCUUCCGCGGGUUUCUUCCACCCAGAGACCCACCGACCGCCCACACUCCAGCAACCCAGAAUAUUGAUUUGCAGCGAUGCCGCCGGUGGUCUCGAGAUCCGACAGGAUAGUUCGCCGGACGGCGAUGAUCGGCGCCGCCACCGCCGCCUUCUUGCUCCUCACCGCCGACUACGGCCCCAACUACCCCAACCCCAUAAGGAAGGCCAUGGAGCUCUUCUCCAAACCGGACAGGAGUGUUCAUCAAGCUCAACAAGCUGAUACUAAUUCGAAGCCGGAUGGUAGUUAAAUAAAGUACUAGUACUAGUGCACUUUCAUGUGCCGACUAGCUAGGAUCAGUUUCCCCUUGUUUUGUCAUUGCACAACAACGUAUCCAGAUCCAGGUGCUAUCGUGAACGUUUCAGUGAUAUCAUGUGCCUCAGUGCCUGCUGCAUGCAUUAUGUCCA